UACGAAGGUGGCAAGCGUUGUUCGGAUUCACUGGGCGUACAGGGUGUGUAGGCGGUUUGGUAAGCCUUCUGUUAAAGCUUCGGGCCCAACCCGGAAAGCGCAGAGGGUACUGCCAGGCUAGAGGACGGGAGAGGGAUGCGGAAUUCCAGGUGUAGCGGUGAAAUGCGUAGAUAUCGAUAGGAACUCCGGUGGCGAAGGCGGCAUACUGGACCACAUCUGACGCUGAGGCGCGAAAGCCAGGGGAGCAAACGGG
rnacentral:rRNA from 1 species